CAGUGCGCAAGACCCGCGGCCGCGAGGUCGAGGUUUCCAAAUUGUGUAAUCGCGAUGAUUCGCCACAGCUACAUCUUUAUCCUUUGAGGUAGAUCUAGGCCUUAAAGAUUAAAUAUCAAUUUAAAUGCUGUGUUAGACUGUGAUCUCUGUGGCUGUGACAGUAAGUUCGAUUGGAUUCUAAAGGUUGCUGACAGACCUAAUGUAUUCCUGAGGAAUUCUGCAAUCUUGUAUCAAGAUUUGGAAUGACAGAGAGAUUAUUAUAAUUUAAAGGAGUGAAAGGACUUAAACACAACAAUGGAUAGGAAAGACGCCAUCAAACUCCGUAAAAAAUAUAUUGGGUCACCGUGUAAGCUGUGGUUUAAGGAAGAUCCUUUGAAGAUAGUCAGAGCAUCGGGACAGUACAUGUACGAUGACAAAGGCAACAAAUACCUUGAUUGCAUCAACAAUGUUUGUCACGGUAAGAUUGAAUUUUCUCUUUUGGAUGAAAUGGUUUAAUUUUUGAUGAAAAUAGAAACCUGGGGAUUUUCAUAAAUUUCAUGAACAUUUUUGUCAACGAUUUUCAUUAACAAAUGUUAUAAGCUACUACUGGGAAUCCUCACUUCUGAUUGGCUGAAGAGUAAAUCAGUGAACAUCACUUAGAAAACUCUUCAUGAAACUCUCCCCAAAUCUCUCUUGAGAUUUGCAUGAAAGGGGCGUGGCUUUAUUAUCUUUUACCAUUUUUGUUUUGUUUUUUGUUUCUUUAUUUGUUUGUUGUGUUUUUGUGCUAACUUAUAUCAUACUGGCAGCUGUUUCCAUGAUGAAUAUUGUUAAGAUAAAAAAAAAUUGAAAUGUGCUUUAAAAAUGCAUGUAUCUGAGUCUACAGACUACUUGAAGGUUUCGGUCUCUGUCGCAAAAAACUUGCGAGUCAAAUUUGUUGCCUAUUUUCUACCUAUUAACGCUCAUGAUACUUUGCACACACACAUACAUUUUGAUAUAGUGAAGAUGUACAAGGCACAUUGUUUUAUGUAUCAGAUACAUAUAUGGGGUUGCACUGGUAACAGCAUAUUUUCUUUCUUUCUAUUAAAAGCGCACACUAAGCGAUGUGAUUGCACCAAGAUCCGAUAGCAACUAAAUCACGGUGUUUGCCAACCUACGACACACUGCAACUGCACCCUGCUCUGUUGGGUUUAUUUGCAAUUCGUUUAAUGCCAAUUCGUCCAAUUGCCAACUCGUCUUCUAUCAUUUGGUCUACCACAAGUUCGUUGACUCACCACAUGGUCUACUUUCAUUUAGUCUAAUGCCAUUCCAUCUUAUAACCAGUUUGUCCAAUAGCCAUUUAGUCCAUAUACCAUUUGGUCUAAUUGGAUUAAGUGUUAAAGUUGAAUUAAGAAGACGAUUCCAAAUAUUGAGAUAUUUACAUUAAUAGCAACCUUACAACCUCCCAAACACAAAGAGGUGAUUCGACCCCCCAUUUCUUUUUUCAAAAUAGUGAAUUUGAACGAUUUAUCCCUACCCAUUUUCCCUGAGUUCGCUCCUCCAAUGCCUACCGAGACGGGUGUUCUUUGACUGUGACGUCACCGGGGGGUAUUCGGUCCCGGUGUAGUAAACAAGGCAGUGCCGUUUUGUGUACUAUGCACGUACGCCUUCAUAUUUACUUUUGUGUCAAAACUUUAUUUUAUCGCUAUUGAUUUUAUGUGAACGAUACUGAAAGGAAGUAAUAAUUAUUCAAAGACAUAUAGUCAAUAAUAUAUCCCUACAUUGUUAAAACUGUUCUUCUUUGUAGCGAUUUUAGACGAUUUUAAUGCCUUGUUUUCGUUCGGGACUGUGUCCGUGGCGAAACAAGUCAUAAUGGAAUAAACUGCAGUUGAAGUUGUAGCUGCAAGCCGGAGAACUUGCAAAGAGGAAAUGAUUAAAAGUAUAUUUAUGGCCGUACUAUUAUUCCAAAUAUGUAAAUUCCUUCAGAAUGAUACCAUAGACCCUUAAGGAAUAAUUUCAAGGCGAAUAAUAUGAAAUUUGAUCGAGAUCUUCUCACCAGUCGAUAACGUAGCAGACGUGUUAUUAUGACAUAUUUAUCCGCGUGUGACGCGGCUCUUGCAAAAAACACAGUUGGUUGCGGAAUUGCUUUGUGCCGACCGGCCGCCCGCUCCGGCUCAGCUUGCUGUCGAGCUACCGUACCGCAUACCUUUCUUGCUGUCUUCAACUCACUUGCGAAUUGCGUUUGUAUGUGUGACAAUGACCUCUAGCAUAAUUAAAUAUAGAAAACAACUCGGAAGGCCGAGAAGAAUUACUACGUUCAACUUUGAUUCAAGAUUGUUCUGUGGAAUGAGCUGAGUGGAAAUGAUCCAUAGGAUAUAAAAAUGGAGUCAAAGACA